rnacentral:siRNA from 1 species
GGCCACAGUUCUGGUGUGU